AAUUGAAAAAGACACAAAAUUUUCCACACCACCCUUCAUUCAUCGUGUGGCCAUAUUUCCACCAUAACCCCAUCAAACCCAAUCCAAAUGAAAGGCCAGAUCCCAACCCGUACCGACGACGAUUAAUCCUGGCCAUUCGUUGGUAGUUGAGGAUAAUUUCGGCACAAGCGCUAUAAAAAGGAAAGGCAGCCAGAGCUGUUGAGAGAUCAGAGUCGUCUACCAAUUAACACACAGAAGAGAUCUUUUUCAGGGAGAGAGAUGGCUUCAAUGAUUUCUUCCACCGCAGUUACCAGAGCCACCGUUGCUCAGGCGAGUUUGAUCGCUCCCUUCACCGGACUGAAGUCCGCCUCCGCCUUCCCCGUCACCACCAAGAAGGCCUCCAUCCCAAGCAACGGCAGCAGAGUGCAGUGCAUGAAGGUGAGGCCCUGUCUUCAAUUUUCGUUUCUUUAUGGGCUUACUUUGUGCUUAAAUUAAUUGUUAAUAUUGUGGAUCGUGGAAAUUUGAACAUAUGACUAUUUGGUCUGAAUGUUCUGAUAUCAUGUCAUAAUAAAUCAUUGUAUCCCAAUAACUUGAAUCGUUAAAAAAUAAUUAAUUAUGAAUCUUAUAUCUUUCUCUUAUAUGUUUCUUGGAUUGUUAUAUGUAUAGGUGUGGCCACCAAUUGGUUUGAAGAAGUACGAGACCCUGUCGUACCUUCCCCCGUUGUCACAGGAGGCGUUGGCUAAGGAGGUCGACUACCUUCUCCGCAUGGGAUGGGUUCCUUGCUUGGAAUUCGAGUUGGAGGUAUCUUUAUUAAUUCCUAACUUACUACUACUAGUACUAGAGAGUGUGAUUGUGCCUUGGGCUUAGAAAAUAUUUUAGAGUAGAGUUGUAUACCGAUGAUUUGAAGAUAUUAAAUUUAAAUUUAGUAAUUUCACCGAUGAAUAUCCAAUAUAUUAUGAGUUCUAGUGUGAAAAAAUGGGAUGAUAAAAGCAUUAUGUAUAUUCAUCAAAAUUCCAAUAUAUUAUGUGUUGAGGUAGCUUAGUGUUACCAUAUGGUUUUUAGCUAGGCUAAUUUGAGGGAGGACUAACAUGUUUUUAUGUUAAAAAACUGUGUAUGUAGCACGGUUUCGUGUACCGUGAGUACAACAGCUCGCCAGGGUACUAUGACGGAAGGUACUGGACAAUGUGGAAGCUGCCCAUGUUCGGGUGCACCGACUCGUCGCAGGUGUUGAAGGAGCUCGAGGAGUGCGUCAAGGAGUACCCGACCGCCUUCGUCCGUAUCAUCGGAUUCGACAACAAGCGUCAAGUGCAGUGCAUCAGUUUCAUUGCCGCCAAGCCCGAAGGCUACUAAAGCACAUACCAACUACGUACUCUCCAGCAUUCUAUCGUCUAAGGGUCGUUUGGCUUUGCUUUUUUUCCCACCAAAAGUUGUAUAACUUUAUAUAUAUUUGAUGUUGCCAGGCCUUUGAUUUCCCCCCUCCAUCAUCCCUAUUUCGUUUUAAUUCUGUUUCUUUUUCAAUUUCCGUUGCUGGAUUCGGAUGUUGAAUCGAACG
rnacentral:lncRNA from 1 species